UUCGUUCGCGUUUUUGCUACAUUUUUAGAACGCAAAAAUCACAUUAUGUCGAGACGUGCUCUCGCACGCAUAGUGAGAUCGAGGAGAGCGAACAUCUCUCGUCGUUUUUCAAUCUCUUGACGUACGUACGUGUGCUCACGCGAGUGUGUGCGCGCCUCUGUUAUAGCUGGCGACUCUUCAGAAAGGUGCUGCUCUUAGCACACACGAUAUCGUCUUUUACCUUGGCGCUCGCUCGCACGAUGCUUUUUGUCUGCCUGAGUUUAUAAUAAUUACGAUCGUCUAGGCACGCAGGCACAAACUCUUCUCCUCGGAGCUAAAUCAACGAGAGAGAGAGAAAGAGUCGACGAGAGCCUUCGCUACCGUCUAAAUUCUGACUCCCAGGCUUACGUACGCUUCUUACACGUACCGCGGAUACAUCGAGGAUUAUAAAUAUCGGCGAAAUUAUCCUUUUUUACUUACCGAGUGAGUCACUAAAAACUCAAGAAAGUCAUGUUAUUUCCAUAUUAAAAGAUGCAGUGGCUCUGCGCAGUUGGCUCGAAACCCAGCCGUAAGACGAGCGACUAAUUAUGAAAUUGCAAUGCGAACUCAUGAAUGUUGGAAUAACUGAAAUGUUGAGGGAGAACGAAAACGAGGUCGCCGGACGCCGAAAUCUCUCGUUUGUCGAAAAUCCAAUUAAAUUAUUAUACUGAAAUUAUUGAAUGUCUAACAAUAGAUUAUUUAUCGAUACUCUCGAACAUGAAAACUCUUCGUAAUUCAAUUUCUGCUGCUACACCGAGAAGAAGAAUGGAAUUCAUUCGAAAUAUCGUUCGUUUGCCUGGAGGAGACUGCCUGAUCCGUAAAUAAUAUUCCGAGCGAGGGGAUAAUAAGAAUCCGAAAAUCUUGACACAGCGCUUCUUAUUAAUCGCUCGGUCGUCUUCGUGGAAAAAUCCGAUUGGCGCAGUACACGUACAUUAUAUGUUUUAUUUCGUACUUCGACUCACAUUCCAAUUUCAAUUUUCCACGUCCACUUGCGUAGACGCAGAAAAAUCUAUGUGUGUGUGUUUAUAUUUUGUAAUGGAGUCGUCGUGGAAAAUUAUUGGUUGUACUUACGCAAUAAAAUUUCAAAGUGUCCGCAAA